GGGCGAGAACGCGAAUGCGCGUGCGCGAGCGGCGGGGCUCUUUCCCCGAGCCGUCGGAAGGAGCGGGAGCGCUUCUCCCGAGUUGGUGAUCGAUUGGUUGUGAUCCACCAUGCAGAAGUGAGUGAUGAAAGGCAACAGAGCUGAUGGGUCAUGAGGAUGUAAGUGCAUUUGAAGGCUCUCACACCCUCUACUCCAGGACAGAAUCAUGAAUAAACUGGAGGACAAGCAGGACCAGAUGAUACCAUGAAGAGAAGUUUACAGGCCCUCUAUUGCCAACUGUUAAUAUACCCAGAGCCCCACCCUGGUACCUGCUAGGCCAGUUGCUCUAAUGUGAUCUGUGAUCUGAAGCUCUCCUGUGCUCAUUAAGAAAGAAAACAAUCUGACUAAAUUAACUAAUGCCAAGGUGUGCUUCAUUGUCUAAGGAGAGUUGGG